rnacentral:lncRNA from 10 species
GUUUUGGUUAAAGGAGCAGACAUGGAAUUGAACCUGUCACUCAGGAGAGGGCCUGGGAACACCACAGCAAAAGCACCUAUGGUAGGAUCCAAUGGCAGAGCCAGUUAGGGGUGAGGCAGUAGUCAUUUCUAACAGUUGAUCUUCAUCUAAAGCAGACAUCUGGUAGCCGAGGGGAUGAGGAAACUAGGUUUGGGAAUAAACAGAAUCAUAAAGAAGUAGCAGGGAUGUCGGAGAAAAUAGUUUAAAAAGUAAAUAACUAAGCUGUGGGAACCUAGAGACUCGGGAGCCACUCUCUUGGGACAAACUUAUGUUUGUUCUUUGACUAAAGUCAGAACAAGACCCAUGUAAGCUCAGUGAAGGAGUGUGGGAGACAGUCAGAGGUGACAUCUGAGGUAGAACCAAGCCAGUCAGUACGUCAGUCAAGUCAGGCAAAAAGGCCUACUACGGGUAGUUCCAGAAUCUCUAAAUUUUUAAAGUAAGAAUGGCUUGGGAGCCGUAAUCAGGUUGGAAGCUGCAUUCGUAUUACACAAUACUGAGAAUAGCUAAAUAUUCAUAUAAAAGAUUAGUAGGUGGUGUUUGUUCUAUUUUACCUAGUAUUUAGAGGCAUUUUGUAGAGUGAGAGUUCCCAGGGUACCUAUUUCCCCAUAUUGCCAGAAACAGAAGUCUGUGACCAGACAUCUAUCUAGUUUGUAAUGAAAAGCCACAUUUUGUUGAUCUCAGCCAAGCUUCAUAGAGCCCAGAAAUAGCAGACAUUUGCUUCAGAUUCAUCUUUCUCAUCUCCACCAACAUCUAUUUUUUCAUAAUGCCGCCCUCAGGCCACUUACAUUAUAAUACAGGUUCUUAGGCCACAUUCCUAGACCUCCUGAGUCAGAACCUCUGGCUGUGGAACCCAGAAAUCUGUAUUGUUAACAAGUCUUUUAGUGAUCUUUAUCACCAGCAUUUGUGAGCUAUUUGUCUAUGCAAUAGUAGAUGCUCAAUAAAUGUUCAUUUGUUUUUUCCUCCAUGUUUUUAAAGAACAUUUGAAAAGAUCCUUGCCCCUG